UUCUUGGUCAUUUAGAGGAAGUAAAAGUCGUAACAAGGUUUCCGUAGGUGAACCUGCGGAAGGAUCAUUAAAGAAAUUUAAUAAUUUUGAAAAUGGAUUUUUUUGUUUUGGCAAGAGCAUGAGAGCUUUUACUGGGCAAGAAGACAAGAGAUGGAGAGUCCAGCCGGGCCUGCGCUUAAGUGCGCGGUCUUGCUAGGCUUGUAAGUUUCUUUCUUGCUAUUCCAAACGGUGAGAGAUUUCUGUGCUUUUGUUAUAGGACAAUUAAAACCGUUUCAAUACAACACACUGUGGAGUUUUCAUAUCUUUGCAACUUUUUCUUUGGGCAUUCGAGCAAUCGGGGCCCAGAGGUAACAAACACAAACAAUUUUAUCUAUUCAUUAAAUUUUUGUCAAAAACAAGAAUUUUCGUAACUGGAAAUUUUAAAAUAUUAAAAACUUUCAACAACGGAUCUCUUGGUUCUCGCAUCGAUGAAGAACGCAGCGAAAUGCGAUACGUAAUGUGAAUUGCAGAAUUCCGUGAAUCGUCGAAUCUUUGAACGCACAUUGCGCCCCUUGGUAUUCCAGGGGGCAUGCCUGUUUGAGCGUCAUUUCCUUCUCAAACAUUCUGUUUGGUAGUGAGUGAUACUCUUUGGAGUUAACUUGAAAUUGCUGGCCUUUUCAUUGGAUGUUUUUUUUCCAAAGAGAGGUUUCUCUGCGUGCUUGAGGUAUAAUGCAAGUACGGUCGUUUUAGGUUUUACCAACUGCGGCUAAUCUUUUUUUAUACUGAGCGUAUUGGAACGUUAUCGAUAAGAAGAGAGCGUCUAGGCGAACAAUGUUCUUAAAGUUUGACCUCAAAUCAAGGUAGGAGUACCCGCUGAACUUAAGCAUAUCAAUAAGGCGGAGGAA
rnacentral:rRNA from 1 species